AUCAUUUGAAUAAAAUAUAGUUU
rnacentral:snRNA from 1 species